AUGGAGUACCAGGGACAUCAGCAGCACGGUCAGGCGACUAACCGCGUCGACGAGUACGGUAACCCGGUUGCCGGACAUGGCGUCGGCACAGGCGCGGCCGCUGGUGGGCAUUUCCAGCCCUCGGGGGAGGAGCACAAGGCCGGCGGGAUCCUGCAGCGCUCCGGCAGCUCUAGUAGCUCCAGCUCGUCUGAGGAUGAUGGCAUGGGCGGGAGGAGGAAGAAGGGCAUCAAGGAUAAGAUCAAGGAGAAGCUCCCUGGUGGCCACGGCGACCAGCAGCAGACCACUGACAACACCUACGGACAGCAAGGUCAUACGGCAGGGAUGGCCGGCACUGGCGGCACCUACGGCCAGCCGGGACACACCGGAAUGGCCGGCACUGGGACGCAUGGCACCGACGGCACCGGCGAGAAGAAGGGCGUCAUGGACAAGAUCAAGGAGAAGCUGCCCGGACAGCACUGA
rnacentral:rRNA from 1 species